rnacentral:siRNA from 1 species
GAUGCCCGCGUCGCGAUAGUAA